UACACAUGCAAGUCGAGCGGUAGCACAGGGGGAGCUUGCUCCCCGGGUGACGAGCGGCGUGACGGGUGAGUAAUGUCUGGGAAACUGCCUGAUGGAGGGGGAUAACUACUGGAAACGGUAGCUAAUACCGCAUAACGUCGCAAGACCAAAGAGGGGGACCUUCGGGCCUCUUGCCAUCAGAUGUGCCCAGAUGGGAUUAGCUAGUAGGUGGGGUAAUGGCUCACCUAGGCGACGAUCCCUAGCUGGUCUGAGAGGAUGACCAGCCACACUGGAACUGAGACACGGUCCAGACUCCUACGGGAGGCAGCAGUGGGGAAUAUUGCACAAUGGGCGCAAGCCUGAUGCAGCCAUGCCGCGUGUGUGAAGAAGGCCUUCGGGUUGUAAAGCACUUUCAGCGAGGAGGAAGGUGGUGAGCUUAAUACGCUCAUCAAUUGACGUUACUCGCAGAAGAAGCACCGGCUAACUCCGUGCCAGCAGCCGCGGUAAUACGGAGGGUGCAAGCGUUAAUCGGAAUUACUGGGCGUAAAGCGCACCCAGGCGGUUUGUUAAGUCAGAUGUGAAAUCCCCGGGCUCAACCUGGGAACUGCAUUUGAAACUGGCAAGCUAAAGUCUCGUACAGGGGGGGAGAAUUCCAGGUG
rnacentral:rRNA from 1 species